rnacentral:rRNA from 1 species
GACGAACGCUGGCGGCGUGCUUAACACAUGCAAGUCGAGCGGUAAGGCCCUUUCGGGGGUACACGAGCGGCGAACGGGUGAGUAACACGUGGGUGACCUGCCCUCAGCUCUGGGAUAAGCCUGGGAAACCGGGUCUAAUACUGGAUAUGACUCCAUGACGCAUGUUGUGGGGUGGAAAGCCUUGUGCGGCUGAGGAUGGGCCCGCGGCCUAUCAGCUUGUUGGUGGGGNGAUGGCCUACCAAGGCGACGACGGGUAGCCGGCCUGAGAGGGCGACCGGGCCACACUGGGACUGAGACACGGCCCAGACUCCUACGGGAGGCAGCAGUGGGGAAUCUUGCGCAAUGGGCGAAAGCCUGACGCAGCGACGCCGCGUGAGGGAUGACGGCCU